AUGGUUGCAUGUGAUUUUGAUAAUCGUUUCGUCCAUGUCAGCAGCGGAUGGGAAGGUUCCGCUUCUGACGCUCGUGUUCUACAAGAUGCUCUUGAAAAUAAUUUCUAUGUCCCCGAAGGAAAGUUUUAUUUGGUGGAUGCUGGUUAUGCGAAUACGCCUAAUUUCAUUGCACCUUAUCGCAAUGUAAGGUACCAUUUGGUGGAGCAGGCUAAAUGCAAUCAGCGGCUGCAAAAUCCUCGAGAGCUAUUUAACCUGAGGCAUGCACAACUUCGUAAUCAUGUUGAACGUAUAAUUGGAGUUCCGAAGAAGUGUUUCCCUAUACUAAAGUGUGCAUCGCAAUACCCCAUCGACUCGCAAGCAGAAAUUGAGAUAGCAUGUUGUGCUCUUCAUAAUUUUAUUUGCAGUAAUGAGGAUUGCUGA
rnacentral:rRNA from 1 species